AACAUCUUUUCUUGGUAUUUAUUUGAGAUUUGACCUGCCCAAUGAUAAUUAUUUAAUGGCCGCAGUAUUCUGACUGUGCAAAGGUAGCAUAAUCAUUAGUUCAUUAAUUGUGGACUUGUAUGAAUGGUUGGACGAAAUAUUAACUGUCUUAUUAUUUAAAAUUAGAAUUUAAAUUUUGAGUUAAAAUGCUUAAAUUUUAUUAUUGGACGAGAAGACCCUAUAGAUCUUUAUUUUAAUUUUUAUUAAUUAUUUUAGUUUAUUUAUUUUUAAUAGGUUUUAUUAUUUUGUUGGGGUGAUGUUGAGAUAUAAUUAACUCUUUAUUAUAUUAUACAAAUAUUUUUGUUUAUAUGACCUUAUUUUAUUGUUAUAAGAUUAGAUACCUUAGGGAUAACAGCGUAAUUUUCUUUGAGAGUUCAUAUCGACAGGAAAGAUUGCGACCUCGAUGUUGGAUUAAGAUUAUUUUUAGGUGUAGUCGCUUAAUUAAUAAGUCUGUUCGACUUUUAAAUUCUUACAUGAUCUGA
rnacentral:rRNA from 1 species